AACGGUCUAUACCUGCGGUACCUGCGGAAGGAUCAUUAAUGAGAAACUGCCCCUCGCGGGUAGAUCUCCCACCCUUUGUAAACUUACCUUUGUUGCUUUGGCAGGCCCGUCUCCGGACCGCCGGCUUCGGCUGGCCAGUGCCUGCCAGAGGAUUCUAAAACUCUGUCUGUCAGUGUUGUCUGAGUCUAUUUACAAUCGUUAAAACUUUCAGCAAUGGAUCUCUAGAUCGGAAGAGCACAC
rnacentral:misc_RNA from 1 species